rnacentral:rRNA from 1 species
GUUGCUUCGGCGGGAACAGACGGCCCUGUAACAACGGGCCGCCCCCGCCAGAGGACCCCUAACUCUGUUUUUAUAAUGUUUUUCUGAGUAAACAAGCAAAUAAAUUAAAACUUUCAACAACGGAUCUCUUGGCUCUGGCAUCGAUGAAGAACGCAGCGAAAUGCGAUAAGUAAUGUGAAUUGCAGAAUUCAGUGAAUCAUCGAAUCUUUGAACGCACAUUGCGCCCGCCAGUAUUCUGGCGGGCAUGCCUGUUCGAGCGUCAUUACAACCCUCAGGCCCCCGGGCCUGGCGUUGGGGAUCGGCAGAAGCCCCCUGUGGGCACACGCCGUCCCUCAAAUACAGUGGCGGUCCCGCCGCAGCUUCCAUUGCGUAAUAGCUAACACCUCGCAACUGGAGAGCGGCGCGGCCAUGCCGUAAAACACCCAACUUCUGAAUGUUGACCUCGAAUCAGGUAGGAAUACCCGCUGAACUUAAGCAUAUCAAUAAGCGG